UCGUAGGGGAUAUUAAACAAUGCACUCUCAAUCAGAGUGGAAUCAGAGUGAAGGGGAGAAUGAAUGCUGGCAAUAUCUCACUCCGACCAAGCUGCCUGAGGAAGAGUCCUAAGAGCACCAACAAUCAAGAAUCCAGGAGAGGAAAAAGAAGCAAUGCCUCCAAAUGGGCAGUAUAAUUUGGGGUCAGAUAUGAAGCAGAUGAAGUCAGUAAAGAGAAGACAAAUGGAGCGACAGCUAUCCCAGUAUCCCUGCUUCAUAAGGCCCAUUGUUCCAGUCUGUUACUGUGCAGCUGUGUUUGGCUAGUUUCUUUUUGACCCUCACCUUAAUAACAGGCCUUUCCUUCACUUUCCACAUGCCCCAGGAUGUCUCUGACACACCUAGGGAGCGCCGCAAACUCCAAUGUUGCUGGGCAGCCCUGUUUUCCUCUUUCUGAGUCCAGAAGUGGUGCAGCCUGGGCCUUUACCUUGACCUUUGACCUCCCACGUCAUGAAGUUAACACGGUUCCUGCCUCCAGCUAAUGGUUUCCAACACUGCAGAACUGAGUCUAUUUUAUCAAUUACAUGAACUUCAGUCUUUGGCAUAAAGGUCAUUAUUGUAUUUUGUACCUGGAAUUGUAUUGUAAUGAGGCAAAUCACAUUCUCUUACAGUCAAUGAGGGGGAAAAAAGCACACAAAAUGGAAAUUACUCCUAAAAUGACCUUGCUAGAUUUCUAUAUCUGGCUAACAGACUCAGUUUCUAUACAUCAGAAAACUGACGUGGCAGCUUUGUCAUACAACCAGGCAGUCCAAUCCCAUGUUAGCAAACAUGUUAUUAUGGAACAUAUGGCAUAAACCCAUUAAUAGUAUGCACAGUUGAUACAUUCCCAGUGUAGUUCCCGUGAUGUUUACUGAUUCACUGCCACCUUGCCCCAGGCUGCUUCCAAACAUGUCAGAAAAAUCAAAUGUCAUCCAUAUUUGCAUUUAGAAGUUAUUCCAUAUUUACACAUGCUAAUAAAAACAAAAGCCUGCUUUUUAAGGAAGGGGCAAGCUCCAUAAUCAAUUUUCUGAGCGGCCCAAGAGUUUGACAUGUUCUGCAUACAUUGCAUUCACUGGAAUAGCAACUUGGAGACACGAGUAGGCUGGCUCUGUGGCUUCUCACCCCUUGCUGGGUAACAGCAGCUGACAGCAGACAGCCACCCUUGAGGGUUGAGGGUACCUGCAGAUCACUCACUUUCUCUAUCUAAACAACUGGCCUUAGAUUUUCUUUUCUUUGUGCAUCACAUAUUUAGAACAAAUAUGUGAUGAACCAGUGCAUGAAUUAGCUACGAGGAUAGCCACAAUUUGAUGGUGCCCUAUAACUUCUCUGCCCCUUUCAUUAAUGACCAGCUCCAUCUCCCAGCUCCCUGGCCUUGUUGUCUUGACUAGAAUAUAGCAUUUGGAGUCAUUAAAUAGGGUAUGAAGUUCUGGCUCUGAAAAAUCACUGGUUAUGUUACCAUGAGCAAGUCACUUAAUCUCUCUAAGCCUCAAUUCCCUUAUCCACGAAAUGGGUGAAUUAUAGCAUUUGUUUUGUAAGGAUCCUUUAAGUUUCAAGAGACAGAAACCCAGUUCAAACUAUUUUAAAGUAAACAAAAAGAAAACAUUUAUUGGCUCACAUGGCUGGAAGGGAUACUGUGCUAUCUGACCAAAUCAAAGGAUAGGGAUCAAGGUCUCAAUUGCUAGGAUCAAAACUCAAAGCUAAGAGAACUCUCUCCCUUUUCCAUCUCUCAGCUCAGCUCAGCUCUGUUCGGCUUCAUUCUUUUUUACUAUAGCUGGACUUUCUUCAUGUGGCAAUGAACGUGGUCAGUUUUAACCCCAAUCUCACAUUUUUCAAGUAUAAUGAACCCCUAGGCAAGGCUAUUUUUAUUUAUUUCAAAUCAAAUCCUUACUUAGUAUGUCAGAGGGGGCCUCAGGUCAGCCCUGCUGGUUUACAUGUUUGCCUUAGGUUAAGAAGUACUACGAUUAAUCAGGUAUGAAGUUUUGUCCGCCCCUGUACCUGGGAUAAAAGGUAGUGGUUAGAGUGUAUUACCAGAAGAACGGAAAUAAAAACCUUGCUGAGCAAAUAAGGCAAAAAUAAAAGCUACCAUUUUGCUAACCUAUUUCACCGAGGUUUGUGGAUUCUGGCACAAGCAAGUGUUGAAUAAUCAUAGGUUAGGAUUAUAAGUAACUGGGCUUUGUAAACUACUAAAAGUUAUACAUGAAUCCUAGCCAAGUAACUACACAUCUUAUUUAUUAACGCUCUCAGAGGGUGAAACCAGCCAAGGCCAGUGUUAGUGACAAUUAUAAUGAUAAUAGUUAAUAUUUAAGGAGCAAUCACUGCAUGUGAGGAACUGCUUUUGUGAGCAUUUUAUAUGUAUGAGCUAUGAAGUAGGUACUAUCAUCCACCCCAAUGUUUGCAUAAAUAACUAAUGCAAAGAGAGGUAAAACAAUUUGCCCAAAGUCACAGAACUAGUGGUUAAACCAGAGUUUGGAACCAGAGGGUCUGAGCUACAGUUCAUACUCAUUGCUGUCCCUCAAUCUUCCUGUAAUAUUUUGCAUUUUACUGUGUAUCUUUUCCUUGAGGCACUAAAAACGCCACAAGAUUGGUAAUUGUGUCUGUAUUACUCAAAGUUGCAUACAUAUUCCAUCCUUAAGGCCUACAUGACUGGUAUGAGAAAAGUAGAGAUAAUUGGGAUUGGGCUAAACUUUUAUUUGAGUGUAUGAAUAUCAUUCAAAUAACAGUGCU
rnacentral:lncRNA from 10 species